UACGUAGGGAGCAAGCGUUGUCCGGAAUCAUUGGGCGUAAAGCGCGCGUAGGUGGCCUCAUAAGUCCGCUGUGAAAGUCAAAGGCUCAACCUUUGAAAGCCGGUGGAUACUGUGAGGCUAGAGUACGGAAGAGGCGAGUGGAAUUCCUGGUGUAGCGGUGGAAUGCGUAGAGAUCCGGAAGAACACCGGUGGCGAAGGCGGUCUGCUGGGCAGUUGCUGACGCUGAUGCGCGACAGCGUGGGGAGCAAACAGG
rnacentral:rRNA from 1 species